GGGUUGUGAGGUUAAGCGACUAAGCGUACACGGUGGAUGCCCUGGCAGUCAGAGGCGAUGAAGGACGUGCUAAUCUGCGAUAAGCGUCGGUAAGGUGAUAUGAACCGUUAUAACCGGCGAUUUCCGAAUGGGGAAACCCAGUGUGAUUCGUCACACUAUCAUUAACUGAAUCCAUAGGUUAAUGAGGCGAACCGGGGGAACUGAAACAUCUAAGUACCCCGAGGAAAAGAAAUCAACCGAGAUUCCCCCAGUAGCGGCGAGCGAACGGGGAGCAGCCCAGAGCCUGAAUCAGUGUGUGUGUUAGUGGAAGCGUCUGGAAAGGCGCGCGAUACAGGGUGACAGCCCCGUACACAAAAAUGCACAUAUUGUGAGCUCGAUGAGUAGGGCGGGACACGUGGUAUCCUGUCUGAAUAUGGGGGGACCAUCCUCCAAGGCUAAAUACUCCUGACUGACCGAUAGUGAACCAGUACCGUGAGGGAAAGGCGAAAAGAACCCCGGCGAGGGGAGUGAAAAAGAACCUGAAACCGUGUACGUACAAGCAGUGGGAGCCUCUUUAUGGGGUGACUGCGUACCUUUUGUAUAAUGGGUCAGCGACUUAUAUUCUGUAGCAAGGUUAACCGAAUAGGGGAGCCGAAGGGAAACCGAGUCUUAACUGGGCGUUAAGUUGCAGGGUAUAGACCCGAAACCCGGUGAUCUAGCCAUGGGCAGGUUGAAGGUUGGGUAACACUAACUGGAGGACCGAACCGACUAAUGUUGAAAAAUUAGCGGAUGACUUGUGGCUGGGGGUGAAAGGCCAAUCAAACCGGGAGAUAGCUGGUUCUCCCCGAAAGCUAUUUAGGUAGCGCCUCGUGAAUUCAUCUCCGGGGGUAGAGCACUGUUUCGGCAAGGGGGUCAUCCCGACUUACCAACCCGAUGCAAACUGCGAAUACCGGAGAAUGUUAUCACGGGAGACACACGGCGGGUGCUAACGUCCGUCGUGAAGAGGGAAACAACCCAGACCGCCAGCUAAGGUCCCAAAGUCAUGGUUAAGUGGGAAACGAUGUGGGAAGGCCCAGACAGCCAGGAUGUUGGCUUAGAAGCAGCCAUCAUUUAAAGAAAGCGUAAUAGCUCACUGGUCGAGUCGGCCUGCGCGGAAGAUGUAACGGGGCUAAACCAUGCACCGAAGCUGCGGCAGCGACACUAUGUGUUGUUGGGUAGGGGAGCGUUCUGUAAGCCUGCGAAGGUGUACUGUGAGGUAUGCUGGAGGUAUCAGAAGUGCGAAUGCUGACAUAAGUAACGAUAAAGCGGGUGAAAAGCCCGCUCGCCGGAAGACCAAGGGUUCCUGUCCAACGUUAAUCGGGGCAGGGUGAGUCGACCCCUAAGGCGAGGCCGAAAGGCGUAGUCGAUGGGAAACAGGUUAAUAUUCCUGUACUUGGUGUUACUGCGAAGGGGGGACGGAGAAGGCUAUGUUGGCCGGGCGACGGUUGUCCCGGUUUAAGCGUGUAGGCUGGUUUUCCAGGCAAAUCCGGAAAAUCAAGGCUGAGGCGUGAUGACGAGGCACUACGGUGCUGAAGCAACAAAUGCCCUGCUUCCAGGAAAAGCCUCUAAGCAUCAGGUAACAUCAAAUCGUACCCCAAACCGACACAGGUGGUCAGGUAGAGAAUACCAAGGCGCUUGAGAGAACUCGGGUGAAGGAACUAGGCAAAAUGGUGCCGUAACUUCGGGAGAAGGCACGCUGAUAUGUAGGUGAAGCGACUUGCUCGUGGAGCUGAAAUCAGUCGAAGAUACCAGCUGGCUGCAACUGUUUAUUAAAAACACAGCACUGUGCAAACACGAAAGUGGACGUAUACGGUGUGACGCCUGCCCGGUGCCGGAAGGUUAAUUGAUGGGGUUAGCGCAAGCGAAGCUCUUGAUCGAAGCCCCGGUAAACGGCGGCCGUAACUAUAACGGUCCUAAGGUAGCGAAAUUCCUUGUCGGGUAAGUUCCGACCUGCACGAAUGGCGUAAUGAUGGCCAGGCUGUCUCCACCCGAGACUCAGUGAAAUUGAACUCGCUGUGAAGAUGCAGUGUACCCGCGGCAAGACGGAAAGACCCCGUGAACCUUUACUAUAGCUUGACACUGAACAUUGAGCCUUGAUGUGUAGGAUAGGUGGGAGGCUUUGAAGUGUGGACGCCAGUCUGCAUGGAGCCGACCUUGAAAUACCACCCUUUAAUGUUUGAUGUUCUAACGUGGACCCGUAAUCCGGGUUGCGGACA
rnacentral:rRNA from 1 species